rnacentral:sRNA from 1 species
GACCCCAAUACAGCAGAUGAUGAGGACUGGAAGAUGUGGCUAGGGGGACUUAUGAAUGAUGAUGUGGGGAAUGAAGAUGAAGCAGAUGAUGAUGAUGAUCCAGAAUAUAAUUUCCUGGAAGACCUCGAUGAACCAGACACAGAGGAUUUCCGGACUGACCGGGCAGUGAGAAUCACCAAAAAGGAAGUAAAUGAGCUGAUGGAAGAGCUGUUUGAAACUUUCCAAGAUGAGAUGGGAUUCUCCAACAUGGAAGAUGAUGGCCCAGAAGAGGAGGAGCGUGUAGCUGAGCCUCGUCCUAACUUUAACACCCCUCAAGCUCUACGGUUUGAGGAACCACUGGCCAACCUGUUAAAUGAACAACAUCGGACAGUGAAGGAGCUAUUUGAACAGCUGAAGAUGAAGAAAUCUUCAGCCAAACAGCUGCAGGAAGUAGAGAAGGUUAAACCCCAGAGUGAGAAAGUUCAUCAGACUCUGAUUCUGGACCCAGCACAGAGGAAGAGACUCCAGCAGCAGAUGCAGCAGAAAGAGCUGGGAACCUUUGCUCAAAGCUCCAUCGCCCUUCACCAUCAGUACAACCCCAAGUUUCAGACCCUGUUCCAACCCUGUAACUUGAUGGGAGCUAUGCAGCUGAUUGAAGACUUCAGCACACAUGUCAGCAUUGACUGCAGCCCUCAUAAAACUGUCAAGAAGACUGGUAGGAGACAGAUGUGUCAGCUUUAAGUUUUUACUUGCGGUGAGAGGUGGUGGGAAUCUUAUCCCAUAGGUAACUUCCUAGGAUACUUGCCUAGGAAUGGAGGACACAGGACAUUUGUAAUUUCUUCCUUCUCUUUUAUCCUCCCUUUGUACUCAUUAUCCAAGUUCUAGAAUUACGUGAUAAUCUCUGGGCCUGG